rnacentral:rRNA from 1 species
GAUGAACGCUGGCGGCGUGCCUAAUACAUGCAAGUCGAGCGAACGGACGAGAAGCUUGCUUCUCUGAUGUUAGCGGCGGACGGGUGAGUAACACGUGGAUAACCUACCUAUAAGACUGGGAUAACUUCGGGAAACCGGAGCUAAUACCGGAUAAUAUUUUGAACCGCAUGGUUCAAAAGUAAAAGACGGUCUUGCUGUCACUUAUAGAUGGAUCCGCGCUGCAUUAGCUAGUUGGUAAGGUAACGGCUUACCAAGGCAACGAUGCAUAGCCGACCUGAGAGGGCGAUCGGCCACACUGGAACUGAGACACGGUCCAGACUCCUACGGGAGGCAGCAGUAGGGAAUCUUCCGCAAUGGGCGAAAGCCUGACGGAGCAACGCCGCGUGAGUGAUGAAGGUCUUCGGAUCGUAAAACUCUGUUAUUAGGGAAGAACAUAUGUGUAAGUAACUGUGCACAUCUUGACGGUACCUAAUCAGAAAGCCACGGCUAACUACGUG